CACAAUUUCACAUCCUCUGGGGUCUUGUCCUCUGCUGGGGCAGCUCCUCUUCUCCUCCCCUGUUCACCAGCGUGGCAAAAACUGAGAAUUCAGGCAGCUGAGUGUGCCCCAGAUGGGUGUCAGUGGUGCCUUGUUGGGCAGACAAACACGAGGGAAUAAAAAGUUGUUAUGUUUACUGAAGGGCCUUUGGGUACUGUUAGGCAGAUGAAGCCCGCCCAGGGCCUGCACCCAAAAUAGACCAUGGGUCACAAGUUUUCACACUUUUAUAAUUUUGGUCCAUUUGCAUAUUGGGGGUUAAUCUUCCAAUUACAGCUUCAGGUAAUGAAGUAAUUUACCCCAAGUGUGCUCCCCCCCUCAAAGAGAUAAUUUUGUUUAAAUUUCUGGGGCCUGAGGCAUGAGGUGUCCUUGAUUGCCAGGCCUGGAGAGGAAUUGUUGUGUCUGCCCAAAAUGGGAAAGCAGUGUCCAACACUCUACAUGGAAUUUACAUUUAUACACUAAAGAAUUGCAGGAUUACAAACAUGUGAAUAAUACAAAAGCUAAAAUCCUAAGGCACCAUUAGUGCCAGAUAUUGAUCAGGGACUGGGUUUCCACUGCAAAAAUUCCCUCUCUCCUGGUGGAAGAGGCAGUGGAGAGCACUGCUCGUGGUAUGUGGGAGAGUUGCAUUCUUGUCUCAGCAUCAUGGAAUAUCUCGGCUUUCAUUUGCUCUCCAGUGCAGCCAGUUGAUGCUGCUGCUAAUCUUUCAAUGAAACAUCAAGGUUAAUAAUUCUCACUGCAUCCUCAGGCAAUGUGGGAGCUGAACGAGAUGCGGGGCCUACAAGGUGUCUGAGGAGUGGUUUGUUUUGACCUGCCUCCAUGUGAGUCCAAAACCUGUGCUGCAGAAAGGUGAGGUCAAAGGCAUCUAGGAGGCUGCAGAAACACAGCUUUAAAUGAUCCCUUCUCAUCCUUCUAUGUUCAGGAGAAAUUACUCAAUGGCCUCAAAGCAGCUAAAAGCAAGAUGGUGAAUACCAGUUUGCUUCCCCUGGGCAAAGUGUGGAGGAACAGCAGAAACAACAUUGCCACCUCUCAGGAACUCCGCAGGAAGGGCUUUUUUCCUGAAACUGGAAACCAUGUAGUGGCAACAAGCUGAAGUCUCAAGGAUUUCAACCUCACCUGGCAAAAAAUGCAUUGCAAAGAGCUGCCAAGCCUGUUUUUUCCACAUCCUGAUGCUGGAGAUGGAGCUGGAAGCUUUCACAUCCCUCCACUUUUCUCUCCAUGGCGCAGGAAGGAAGAGAUGAGGAAAGCUUUAGGAGGCAGCAUUUCCUUUUGCUGCAGGAGUUUUCCUGGAAGAAUCCCAGUCACAGAUGUGCCCUUUCACCCAACCUUAGCCAAAAGAGGAAAGGGGGCAGAGAUCCUGGUGGUUUGAGUGAAGGACUAUGGGAAUAAAUCACACAGACUCCAUUUUCUUCAUGGAGGAAAAAGUCACUUCUUUAUUUACACAACUGAUUUUUAUGCAGUUUUACAGACAUUCUAUGUGAUUCCAAUUGGUUGGUAGUUUUCUUGCCAAUUACUUUUAUUGGUUAGUAACAGGUUGUUAUUCUGUAUUGAUUGGUCAAACUCUCAGUCCCUACAUGCAGGGAAGUUGUUUGUGAGAGAUAGUUUUCAUUUUCCUAUCUAAUGGUGUAAAAACAGUUUAUACAGGUGUAAGUUAUUUUUCACUCGGGAAUAAAUUGUUAUGCUAAGUGCUCACAACAGGAUUGCUUUCACAUGGGAACCUGAAAAAUGCUGGUUUUGACAAGGCCAGCCACUGAUUCCAGAGGAGCAGCCUUGAUUUUAUGAAGAUUUUCUCUAUGAUUUUUAUACUUUACUGCAACAGAGGAGGACCAAACCGCAGACAGGGAUGGGAACAGAGGAUGUUAGAUACUCACAGCUGGGAGGAAAACAGACACGUGAGCCUGGGAAGGGAAAGCAACUGGUGUCUGCAGGCCCUAAAGUGAGAGUCAGUGCAGAUCCAUCCCACUGAAAAGCUGUCCCGGUGUCCUAAGUGGCCCAGAAAUGUUUCAUCAGACAACAAAGCAACCAUCCUGCAGGAAAGUAAAGCUUGGGAAGAAGGAGGGAGUGAUAAAUGCAAGCAUAACGAUCAGAAAAAGUUAACUCUGUGAGUGGAAACAUCUUGGCGGAGCAAAGCCAGAGACAGACUGCCACGGGACGUUCCUCAUCAUUCCUGGGAUAAAGACCUCUGCAUUUCUGCUGCACGUUGUUUGAAUUGGCAGCUGGCUGUGCCCACACAAACCAAUCCACAGGGGUAUUCCAGCAUGUGCAAGAGAUAAAACCCCCACUGUGAAAGCCUGCCAGAAGCAAGAUGAUAAAAACCAUCUGUUCCUGCAAGUGUUCCUUCACUGAGUGCACUCAGCAAAGUUUCAGAUAUUGCUCCUUUGAUGGGGGUUUGCUGAAGGAGCAGCAACGAGGGAAUUUGUGUCUUGGUAGGGGAUAAAAUGUGAACUUAAAGCGUAAUCAUGUGUGAAAGUCGGUGGUGGGAGUGUGCAAAGCAGAGCCAGAUCCCUCUCAGUGGUGCACAGGGAAGGACAAAAGGCAGUGGGCACAAAAUCUGUGAAACACAGAAACAGUGAAAGACAGAAAAUUCCACACAAGUGCAGAAACACCUGAUCACCCAGCUGGAUGUGGGAACAGCUUCCCCAGAGAGGGAAUCCAUGGAGAUUCUCAUUCCAAACCAACCUGAUGGGACUGUGAGGUUGGGGAUGGAACAUUCAGAGCUUCCUUCUGGGAUUUACAGGCUCCCAGGACCAUGUUUUAGGUGCUCUACACCCCUCUGAAAAGAGCAUAAAUUUUACUGUUUGCAACUCAUUUCUGAACCUGUUUCUGAGGGCUCUUUGUGAAAAGUCAACAGCUCUGAAACUGAGCUGCAACCUUCAGUUGCUUUUCUGUUUUUAAACAACUUGUCUUCAGAUUUCAGGUUAGUCCAGAUGCUUUCAGUGCCAGAAUCACCCUCUGAAAUUUCUGCCCCACCAGAAAUUUCGUUUGCAUUCCUCCUCCUCUCUGAAAAUGUCAAGACUUAACAAUGCAGGCACAGCAAUCAUAACUGUGGAAUGCAUUACUAUUAUUGUUAUUAUUAUUAUUAUUACUAUUUUAGUAGCACCUUUUUUAGCAGAAGUAUUCUUCUCUAGUCUUCCCCCC